ACUGCUAUCGGGGUGGGACUAAGACAUGCGAGUCGAGCGUCUCUAGUUAUGGUGAGACGCGGCAGACGGCUCAGUAACACGUGGCUAACCUACCCUCAGGACAGGGACAAACCCGGGAAACUGGGACUAAUACCCGAUAGGCGAGGGCGCCUGGAAUGGUUCUUCACCCAAAGGGCUUUGGAAGCAUGCUUUCCACUGUCGCCUGAGGAUGGGGCCGCGUCCGAUCAGGUUGUUGGUGAGGUAACGGCCCACCAAGCCUAUAACCGGUACGGGCCGUGAGAGCGGUAGCCCGGAGAUGGGUACUGAGACAAGGACCCAGGCCCUACGGGGCGCAGCAGUCGCGAAAACUCCGCAAUGCACGAAAGUGUGACGGGGCUACCCCGAGUGCCGUCCGCUGAGGAUGGCUUUUCCUCGGUGUAACCAGCCGAGGGAAUAAGGAGAGGGCAAGACUGGUGUCAGCCGCCGCGGUAAUACCAGCUCUCCGAGUGGUAGGGAUGAUUAUUGGGCUUAAAGCGUCCGUAGCCGGCUUAGCAAGUCUCUUGUUAAAUUCAGCGACCCAAUCGUUGAGCCGCGGGAGAUACUACUAGGCUAGGAGGCGGGAGAGGCCGACGGUACUUCCGGGGUAGGGGUGAAAUCCUAUAAUCCCGGGAGGACCACCAGUGGCGAAGGCUGUCGGCUAGAACGCGCUCGACGGUGAGGGACGAAAGCUGGGGGAGCGAACCGGAUUAGAUACCCGGGUAGUCCCAGCUGUAAACGAUGCGAGCUAGGUGUUGGGGUGGCUACGAGCCACUUCAGUGCCGCAGGGAAGCCAUUAAGCUCGCCGCCUGGGGAGUACGGCCGCAAGGCUGAAACUUAAAGGAAUUGGCGGGGGAGCACCACAAGGCGUGAAG
rnacentral:rRNA from 1 species